GUGGAGGAGGAGGUAACUUUAUUCUCUUACAGUCCUCAUAUAAGGCAACCACGAGGUCUGUUUUUUUUUCUUUUUAAAGGAGGAGGAGGAGGAACAAAGAAACACAAAGAGAGAACAAACAACAGCAGGCCUGCUGGUCAUUACGAGGCUGUGUGUGAUAAGCUACACUAACUAUCUAAUCAAAGGUGGAAGAUGAAGGACAGCAAAGGCGAAGGCCGUGGUGAGCAAAUCAGGGAAGUAAAGUAACGGAACAGGCCGAGGCAGCAACACUAUAAUAUAGUCGCCAAGUCAGUCAGUUCGGGGCCUCGCCAUUCGCGCCAAUCCCGGGCAGAAUCUUGGCGGUUCAGUCUCCUUCCUUCGCCCUGUCAACUUCCCACUUUCGUCACAUCACUUUCCUUCCUUCCCUCGUUCCUUCCUUCCUUCCUUCCUUCCCUCGUUGUUGCUUUCCUUCCUUCCUUCCCUCGUUCCUUCCUUCGUCCUGUCAUCUUUCUCCAUCCUCCCUUCCUCCUGUCACCUUCCCCCCUUUAUUCCUCCCUUCCUCUGUCACCUUCCUUUGGCCUUCGUCCUGCCAUCCUUGAUCCAACAAAAACGGUCUCCGGCGCCUUCACUGUAUUUUCGAUUGAUUUGAAUUAAUCCCGUCUGGAAUUUUAAGAGGCUCAUCUUGCUAUCCACCCUCCUCGCCUCGCGGGGCUGGGGAGCGUCAGGGGGCCCAAGGCCUUCCUGGCGAGCGUCGCAGGGCUCAGGGCUCCGGCAGGGCGCCUCGGCUCCCCCGGAGCGUCCACGGAGGUGUCGGAGAUCCCGAGGGUCCGGGGGUUGGGGGGGCGUGAAGUGGCAGCAAGACAUGCAGUUACUGACCUCUUAUUAGCCAGACGACGCGUUAAUGACACGUUCCAAUGGAAGGUUCGACGCAUGGGGAGGUACAAUUCCCCUAAGCAAGGCAAGUGUCAUGACAACUACGAUAAAAAACGAAAAAUCCAAAAAAAAUACAAAAACAAAAAAUCCAAAAAAAAUUGUCUUGUUUUGCUUUGUUUAAAGCGUCUUGUAUGUUGGUAUGGCGGGUCUUCUCUGGGGAGAAGGAGACUAACGCGUUCCAACAUACAAAACCAGGAAAAGAUGACGUGGAAACACCGAGAGAAGGAAGGGAAAGAAGGGAACACCAGAAGAAGGAAAAUGAAGAGAAAUAACACUAGAAGAAGGCAUAUGAAGUAACACAAGAAGAAGGAAGUUGAAAAGAGUAACACAAGAAGAAGGAAUUUGAAAAGAGUUACACAAGAAGAAGGUAUUGAAAAGAGUAACACAGAAGAAGGUAUUGAAAAGAGUAACACAGAAGAAGGUAUUGAAAAGAGUAACACAGAAGAAGGUAUUGAAAAGAGUUACACAGAAGAAGGUAUUGAAAAGAGUUACACAGAAGAAGGUAUUGAAAAGAGUUAGACAGAAGAAGGUAUUGAAAAGAGUUACACAGAAGAAGGUAUUGAAAAGAGUAACACAGAAGAAGGUAUUGAAAAGAAUAACACAGAAGAAGGUAUUGAAAAGAGUUACACAGAAGAAGGUAUUGAAAAGAGUUAGACAGAAGAAGGUAUUGAAAAGAGUUACACAGAAGAAGGUAUUGAAAAGAGU